rnacentral:rRNA from 1 species
GAAUUCGAUUAACGCGAAGAACCUUACCCAGGCUUGAACAGCGAGUGACCAUUCCCGAAAGGGAACUUCCGCAAGGACACUCGUAGAGGUGCUGCAUGGCUGUCGUCAGCUCGUGUCGUGAGAUGUUGGGUUAAGUCCCGCAACGAGCGCAACCCUUGUCUGCUGUUGCCAUCAGGUUAUGCUGGGCACUCUGCAGAGACUGCCGGUGAUAAACCGGAGGAAGGUGGGGAUGACGUCAAGUCAGCAUGGCCUUUAUGUCUGGGGCUACACACGUGCUACAGUGGCCGGUACAAACCGUCGCGAUACCGUAAGGUGGAGCUAAUCGGAGAAAGCCGGUCUCAGUUCGGAUAGCAGGCUGCAACUCGCCUGCUUGAAGUUGGAAUCGCUAGUAAUCGCGGAUCAGCACGCCGCGGUGAAUACGUUCCCGGGCCUUGUCACACCGAAUCACUA